AGACAACAGGACACAGUGUUUUUGCACAGUCAUCUCCAAAAGGAUACUGAGAGAGAAGGGCAGGGAGCAUAUAUCCACCUCCACAAGAGGGCGUACGUCCAACAAGAGAUGGGGCUCAGCUUUAUCCAGCAUCAGCUUUGGCUGCAGAUCCACAGAAGCUCUCGUAGUCCACCAGUUUGGUCACACUGGGGUUCUGUCCACACACUGCACAGUCACUCUGCCUGGGCCGCAGCUUGAUGGACCUAAAUCUGGCAUCCUGGGCAUCGAACAUCAUCAGCUGCUGGUGUAAGGACGCUGAGAGCCACAGUCAAGGAUUCCUGUUCAUUUGGACACACUUGGUGUACGGCCCCCUACAGGUCACAUCAGGAGCGCUCGCCGACACCAGAGGCUUUCCACUGAGGACGCAGGCAUCGUUCACCAGAUAACGAGUGGGCACGUUAUCAGAACAAUCUGCCACGAUGUCAUACCUGAGGUCACCAAGGUCAAGAAACAAGAACAAAAUGAUGUUUGGUUUAGGACAACUUCACGACUCAGUUACCAACCUACGCCUGCCGCUGCCAGGUACUGUGCCAGGGGGCAGCCUAGUCCUCCGCAGCCGACGACCAGCACGGACGUCUUUGACAAGUUGAUCUGACCUGCGGACGGUCAAAAACA